rnacentral:rRNA from 1 species
AGGCGACGACGGGUAGCCGGCCUGAGAGGGUGACCGGYCACACUGGGACUGAGACACGGCCCAGAAACCUACGGGAGGCAGCAGUGGGGAAUAUUGCACAAUGGGCGCAAGCCUGAUGCAGCGACGCCGCGUGAGGGAUGACGGCCUUCGGGUUGUAAACCUCUUUCAGUAGGGAAGAAGCGAAAGUGACGGUACCUGCAGAAGAAGCGCCGGCUAACUACGUGCCAGCAGCCGCGGUAAUACGUAGGGCGCAAGCGUUAUCCGGAAUUAUUGGGCGUAAAGAGCUCGUAGGCGGUUUGUCGCGUCUGCCGUGAAAGUCCGGGGCUCAACUCCGGAUCUGCGGUGGGUACGGGCAGACUAGAGUGAUGUAGGGGAGACUGGAAUUCCUGGUGUAGCGGUGAAAUGCGCAGAUAUCAGGAGGAACACCGAUGGCGAAGGCAGGUCUCUGGGCAUUAACUGACGCUGAGGAGCGAAAGCAUGGGGAGCGAACAGGAUUAGAUACCCUGGUAGUCCAUGCCGUAAACGUUGGGCACUAGGUGUGGGGGACAUUCCACGUUUUCCGCGCCGUAGCUAACGCAUUAAGUGCCCCGCCUGGGGAGUACGGA